rnacentral:rRNA from 1 species
UACGGAGGGUGCAAACGUUGCUCGGAAUCAUUGGGCGUAAAGCGCACGUAGGCGGAUUGUUAAGUCGGAUGUGAAAGCCCUCAGCUUAACUGAGGAAGUGCACUCGAAACUGGCAGUCUUGAGUAUGGAAGAGGGUCGCGGAAUUCCCGGUGUAGAGGUGAAAUUCGUAGAUAUCGGGAGGAACACCAGUGGCGAAGGCGGCGACCUGGGCCAAUACUGGACGCUGAGGUGCGAAAGCGUGGGGAGCAAACAGG